rnacentral:rRNA from 1 species
GACGAACGCUGGCGGCGUGCUUAACACAUGCAAGUCGAACGGAAAGGCCCUGCUUUUGUGGGGUGCUCGAGUGGCGAACGGGUGAGUAACACGUGAGUAACCUGCCCUUGACUUUGGGAUAACUUCAGGAAACUGGGGCUAAUGCCGGAUAGGAGCUCCUGCUGCAUGGUGGGGGUUGGAAAGUUUCGGCGGUUGGGGAUGGACUCGCGGCUUAUCAGCUUGUUGGUGGGGUAGUGGCUUACCAAGGCUUUGACGGGUAGCCGGCCUGAGAGGGUGACCGGCCACAUUGGGACUGAGAUACGGCCCAGACUCCUACGGGAGGCAGCAGUGGGGAAUAUUGCACAAUAGGCGGAAGCCUGAUGCAGCAACGCCGCGUGCGGGAUGACGGCCUUCGGGUUGUAAACCGCUUUCGCCUGUGACGAAGCGUGAGUGACGGUAAUGGGUAAAGAAGCACCGGCUAACUACGUG